rnacentral:misc_RNA from 1 species
CAUACACAAAACAGAAAUCUUC